rnacentral:rRNA from 1 species
AGCGAACGCUGGCGGCAGGCCUAACACAUGCAAGUCGAGCGAGGGCUUCGGUCGUAGUGGCGGACGGGUGAGUAACGCGUGGGAACGUUCCCUUAGAUUCGGAAUAGCUCUUGGAAACUGGGGGUAAUACCGGAUGAGCCCUUCUGGGGAAAGAUUUAUCGCCUGGGGAUCGGCCCGCGUUGGAUUAGGUAGUUGGUUGGGUAAUGGCCUACCCAGCCGAAGAUCCAUAGCUGGGUUUGGAGGAUGGACAGCCACCCUUGGUAUGAGACACGGCCCAGAAUUCUGCGGGAGGGCGGAGGUGGGGAUUCUAGCCAAUGGGGGGAACGCUGGACGAGCCAUGGCGCGUGAACGCUUAAAGCCUUAAGGUUGUAAAGCCCUUUUAACUGGGAACGUUAUUGCCGGACCCACAGGAAAAAGCCCGGCUAACUUCGUU